CUGAAUUCAAUGCACAACGUUGAAAUGGUAUCAUCAUUACCGCUGUUGUUGUUGUUGUUGUUAUCAUCGAUCAAUCCAUUAAUCAGAUGAUGAUCCAAAUGAAAAUCGAUAUGAAAAGAAUUUUCAUCAUUUUCGAUCGAACAAAAAAAAUCAAAUCCUGUUAUCUUUUUGAAUCGUAUCAGAAAACUAUUUUUGUACAAUCAUUAUCAAAAUCGAAUCGAACAAUUGAUGGUCAUUUUAUCGAUAUCGUCAAUCUUUUCUGGGCUGUGGUUUUUAUAUAUAUUGGCCAGAGAAACUAAAAAAAAAUCAAUAGAUUUCAAUUUUAUGAUAUGGGCUGUGGUUUUCGAAUCAAAAAAAAAAAAAAAAAAAAAAAUUUUUCUAUUGGCAAACAUCCUAUAUUUACAUAUGGCCGUGAAUGUUAUUUACAUCGUCGUCAUCGGUGAAAAAAAAAUUUUUUUUUUUUUUUUUUUGAAAAAAUACAACGCCCCGUUGGGACGACCGUAUACAUAUAUUGAUCUAAACGUAAUUAUAAUCAAAUCAAUUUCACAUUUUUAUGAUGAUUUGAAUUUAUUCGAUCACAAGAUCAUCCAAAAAUUCCGGCUACCAAUGGAUCCCGUGGGCAUAUAUAUAUAGCAGCCCAUUCAUAAAUGAAUACACAUCAAGCCAUCAAAUUCACAAUCCAUUCGAAUUUUUUUCUUGUCCUAUUUUUAGCACUGACCCCGGUUGCCAGAAAAUGGUAAAUACCAGAAAAAAAAGAAAAAAUCUCCAAUUGCCUGAUCGGCACUAAUAUUUGAUUCAGUUUAUUUUCAAAUUUAAUUUAAAAAAAAAAUUGCAAUGGAAAAUGAUGUUUCUAUAGACAUCUUUACACACAACAACACACACACAUCCAAUUAUAACGAUAAACGACGAACCCAACAACCCAGCAAACAUUCUGUAUGUUAUAUAUGAAAAAUUUUCUUUUAUUUAUGAAAAAAUUUGUUUUCAUUCAACAGAUCCGGUUAUUUUUAUAUACAAUUUGCAUUGCAUUUUCUGGUAUGUUUUCGGAUCAAAAAAAAAAAAACAAAAUCGAAUCGAAAUGAAAUGAAAUGAAACGAAACCAAAUGAAAUGAAACGAAACGAAACGAAACAUGAAAUGCAAACCAAGAUUAACGCAUAGCCAAUGAAAACUCAAUUUUAUGGUGUAUAAUAACCAACAACAACAACAACAACAACGAAUACACAAUAACAAUUCCUCUAUAUGAAAUUCACCAAAGAAGAAAAAAAUCCCUUUUGUAUGUGUUUUGGGUUAUAUAUAUAGCCCUAACUAUAAAUGUAUGAUAUCCAACAAUAUUGAUCCAUAGUUUUCCAUUAGUGUUUAGUUAGAUGGAUCUCUGUCCCGGCAUUAUAUUAUUUUUAUUCCAUUCGAUCAGACAAACGAAAAAAGGCAGCCAAUCUAGAACCACACACACACACACACUAAAUGUAUAUCCUCUCAAUGUCAUAUUAUGAAAAAAAAUCAUCGUCAUCGUUCCUUCUUCCUUCGCCAGCAGCAAUGAAAAAAAAGAAGAAGAAGAAAGCAAUAGCAUACAUUAAUGUAAAGAAGAAAAUGUUUCACACAACCAGAAUGUGAUGGUACUGAAAAAAGCUCGGAAACUCUCCUUCCCCAGUAUCAUCAUCAUCAUCAUCACCACCAUCAUCAUCAUCGUCUUCUGUUUUUGGAACGUCGUCAAUUUUAUGUUCCAAAUUGUGUUGCUAUUUAGAUCUAAACAUAUAUAAUACACACAUUCAUAUUGUUCUGGUUUGUGUGUAUGUGUAUGUGUAUGUGUUCUAUUCAUUCUAUUUUUUAAACAUUUAAUUCUGGAACUCAUCAUC